UAGCUCAGCGGCAUAAGCGCCUGCCUUGCAAGCAGGCAGUCGUGAGUUAGAUCCUUAC
rnacentral:tRNA from 1 species